CACUACACGCCAUUUUGAUGUAAUAAGUUUCUGGCUUCAAUUUACAAAUAAUCAUAUUAAAUUAUACACUGCGUAAGCAGGAGAAAAAGAAUCUCCACGAUCCUGGAUCAAAUGGCAAGAUCCACCACUCCCGUGCUGUUAUUUAUCAGUCUCCACCAAAGAGAAUUAAUUUGUAAGAGACUUCCACUUUCAGCAUCCCGUAAAUUAUACCCAGUUACUGUGAAGUAAUGGGAGGAAAAUUUUAGUGAUUCAUUCAUAUUUUAUGAGAAACAAGACUGAAUUUUAUCCCUUCCUACAUAUCUUCACCCUAAAUCAACUAUUCACUGUGUCAUUGUUCUUCAAAAUCAUGCAAUUCACAUGCUUUUUUACCGAUCCAGGGAAAAUUUCAAAAUAUAAAUGCCAAAUUUGUUUCCCAUCUUGGAAGUGUGCAAGAAAAGGAGGAAAUAUGAAAAUCAAUAGGGGAGAAAGUGCUUGUGUGAAAGAGGUGCAACACACGCGGAUGUCAAAGCCAGGCCCAACCUCUACUCAGAAGACACUGAGGAACCUAUCUCUUUACACGUGUCAAUUAUGGAAUAAUCACGGACUAUGGACUAUUAUGAAGACACUAGAUUAUCAAAUAGCUACAUCUGUGUCAGAUGGAAAUCACAUGUUGAAGAGGGGAGAAUAGCCUGUAUCACCCACCUCUGGAUCAUCAUGUGAGAAAAAAAAAUUAUACUUUUACUUAGCUGUAAGCCAAUUUAUUUAUUUAUUAAGAUUUUGUUUAUUUGAGAGCUCAAGAGAAAGUGCAAGCACGGGGAGGGGCAGAGGGAGAAGCAGACUCCUUGCUGAGCAGGAAGCCCAAUGCAGUGCUCAUUCCCAGGACCCUGAGAUCAUUCCUGUUCAAAGGCAGACCCUUAACCUACUGAGCCACCCAGGUGCCCAAGCCACUCUAUUUUGAGGGUGUUUGUUACUGCUAUUUAGCUUAUAUACUAUCAUAUACCAUUUUUUAAAAAAUUAUUUAUUUAUUCGAGAGACACAGGGAGAGAGAGCACGAAGAGUGAGAAGGAGAGGAAGAAGCAGACUCCCCUCUGAGUAGGGAGCCCAACCUUGGGCUCGAUUCCAGACCCUGGGAUCAAGACCUGAGGUGCAUGCAGAUGCUUAAUUGGCUGAGCUACACAGGUGCCCCAGAUAUCAAAAUUUAAAAAAAAAAUAGAUUUAUAUAUUUCAUCAUGAAUAAAAGUAAAAAAUACAAUUUCCAAUGAAAAGAAGUAAGUUGCUGAAUGAUUAACUGACAGGUUUGUAGAGGUAAAAAUGUGAAAGAGAAAGUUACAUUGUUUAGACAUAAAUAAAAUUAAGAAAAGUAUACACAGGAAUGUUACAUUCAGUUUAAGAGAUAAAUUUACAGAAGAAGGGACUCAAGGGACUUUGUUACAUUUUAUUUGUUUCCAAAAAUACCAAGCAAAUAUUGCAAAUUUUAUAAUUUGGCAAAUUAUAAAUAAAUUUUUAUAAUUUGGC
rnacentral:lncRNA from 1 species